AGAGUUUGAUCCUGGCUCAGGAUGAACGCUGGCGGCGUGCUUAACACAUGCAAGUCGAACGAAGCAUGUAAAACAAUCCUUCGGGUGCGUUUUAUAUGACUGAGUGGCGGACGGGUGAGUAACGCGUGGGGAACCUACCGUAUGCAGGGGGACAACAGUCAGAAAUGACUGCUAAUACCGCAUAAGCACACAAUGCUGCAUGGCAUGGUGUGAAAGAUUUAUCGGCAUACGAUGGCCCCGCGUCUGAUUAGCCAGUUGGCAGGGUAACGGCCUACCAAGGCAACGAUCAGUAGCCGGGUUGAGAGACUGACCGGCCACAUUGGGACUGAGAUACGGCCCAGACUCCUACGGGAGGCAGCAGUGGGGAAUAUUGGGCAAUGGGGGAAACCCUGACCCAGCAACGCCGCGUGAAGGAAGAAGGCUUUCGGGUUGUAAACUUCUUUUACCAGGGACGAAGAGAGUGACGGUACCUGGAGAAAAAGCUCCGGCUAACUACGUGCCAGCAGCCGCGGUAAUACGUAGGGAGCAAGCGUUGUCCGGAUUUACUGGGUGUAAAGGGCGUGUAGGCGGAGAUGCAAGUCAGAUGUGAAAUCUGGGGGCUCAACCCCCAAACUGCAUUUGAAACUGUAUCCCUUGAGUAUCGGAGAGGCAGGCGGAAUUCCUAGUGUAGCGGUGAAAUGCGUAGAUAUUAGGAGGAACACCAGUGGCGAAGGCGGCCUGCUGGACGACAACUGACGCUGAGGCGCGAAAGCGUGGGGAGCAAACAGGAUUAGAUACCCUGGUAGUCCACGCUGUAAACGAUGAAUACUAGGUGUGGGGGGACUGACCCCUUUCCUUGCCGGAGUUUACACAACAAGUAUUCCUCCUGGGGAGAACUAUCG
rnacentral:rRNA from 1 species